ensembl:processed_transcript Gm15958 predicted gene 15958
UGCGUGCCGCGCUCAAACUUGGGGCCAGAGGGGGUGAACCGAGCUUGUCUAAGGGGGGUCCGCCUUGCGCGGCCGGAGGGAGUAUGCUGGAGUCCCGGGAAUCUCUUCUGGACGUUCAGGUUGUUUCGAUGUACUCUCCAGUUCUUGUCAAAGAGAAAUUCAUAACAGAAAUGUAAACCACAAGGCCAAGAACGUCACAGCCCCCCAAAAUAAGAAAAGCAAGAGGUUAGAUGAGGAAUGACCAACAUUAAUCGGUCCUGCAGCUCAGGCUACAAGGAGAAGGGACCCUCAGGUGUGCCAAUUGGUCAAACAGAAGGAAGAACAAUUCCCACUGCAUGUGGCCAUGUGAUGUUGGAUAAUACACAGGAAUCCUACACAUAGGCUA